UUAACUGCUUUUACUACAGCUCUACAAAGGGACUACUUGCAUCAUCAGUAAAGUUCUAUAUUUUCAGGGGGAAUAGAAAAUAUUCAGAUAUGGAUUCAUUCCAGGUACGCCUUGUCUCAUUGUGGAGGCAAGUGGGUUAAGAUGACUUUUUAAGAGGCUAAAUUUACAGCUAUGCACACUAUUAUUUCCUCCUUGAAAUUCUCCACUCCUUGGGCUUUGGAGACUGCAAUCUUCUGGCUCAUGAUUCUAUGCUAUUCAGGGCACAGUAGGUUUGCUAUUGUGCCCUGUUCCCAUGUCCAUUGACCAUAUUCUCAUCUUAACAGCGCCUUCAAUAUCCAAUCCUGCAAAUGACUAAGUAACUCCCUUGCAGGUCCAGAAUCCCUUUUGAAACCAGCUGGAGAUUAGGGUACGAAGAACACCCACGGGUGCUCAACCUCUAGAAGAAUUAAGUCUUAAGCAUGUCCUUUACUGAAACUUCUCCCUCUUUCUGGUCUCCAUCAGUGUACCUCAGAGCUCCCUCGAGCCUUUUCUUCUGCGUGCUGCUCUUAGGCAUGUCAUCUGGCCACCCACCUCUACCUACCACCUCAUGCAGGUGACUUUCAGACUUUCCUCUCAGUUUCUGACUUUCCUGUCCAUUCAAAACAAAAUUUCUGAUACUCUCCCCAAUG